CUAAUUUUCCCUAUGCCCCAAAAAGGUGCUUAAAGGGCCAGCACCAGUCCCAUAAAGAGUCCAUAAGCCCCAAUAUGCCCACCGACUGUCUUAAAGGGCUAUACACAUCCAAUAAAAGUCCAUACGUUUUCACAAUCUCCCAGGGGCCAUAGUCAUGCGGGAGGAGGCUGGCAAAUAGGCUUCUCCACAACCCAGGGAAGCAGGGCAAUUUGUCAUUUAAAGGGCCAGUUACAAAUAGCAGUUUGUAACAGUGCCUAAAUUAGCAUAUUAAAAUAUUAAUAUAUAAUUGCAAGGCCUGGAG